GGACAUUUUAAAUGUCCGUCUUCAGGCGACAAUUGUUGUUAAUCUACAAUUGUCAUUGUUUUUACAAUUAACAACAAUUGUCGCCUGAAGACGGACAUUUAAAAUGUCCGAAAC